AGUGAACGCUGGCGGUAGGCCUAACACAUGCAAGUCGAACGGCAGCACAGUAAGAGCUUGCUCUUACGGGUGGCGAGUGGCGGACGGGUGAGGAAUACAUCGGAAUCUACUUUUUCGUGGGGGAUAACGUAGGGAACCUUACGCUAAUACCGCAUACGACCUACGGGUGAAAGCAGGGGAUCUUCGGACCUUGCGCGAUUGAAUGAGCCGAUGUCGGAUUAGCUAGUUGGCGGGGUAAAGGCCCACCAAGGCGACGAUCCGUAGCUGGUCUGAGAGGAUGAUCAGCCACACUGGGACUGAGACACGGUCCAGACUCCUACGGGAGGCAGCAGUGGGGAAUAUUGGACAAUGGGCGCAAGCCUGAUCCAGCCAUACCGCGUGGGUGAAGAAGGCCUUCGGGUUGUAAAGCCCUUUUGUUGGGAAAGAAAAGCAGCAGGUUAAUACCCCGCUGUUCUGACGGUACCCAAAGAAUAAGCACCGGCUAACUUCGUG
rnacentral:rRNA from 1 species